GUAGGUGGCAAGCGUUGUCCGGAAUUAUUGGGGCGUAAAGCGCGCGCAGGCGGUUCUUUAAGUCUGAUGUGAAAGCCCACGGGCUCAACCGUGGAGGGUCAUUGGAAACUGGAGAACUUGAGUACAGAAGAGGAAAGCGGAAUUCCACGUGUAGCGGUGGAAUGCGUAGAGAUGUGGAGGAACACCAGUGGCGAAGGCGGCUUUCUGGUCUGUAACUGACGCUGAGGCGCGAAAGCGUGGGGAGCAAACAGGAUUAGAUACCCUGGUAGUCCACGCCGUAAACGAUGAGUGCUAAGUGUUAGGGGGUUUCCGCCCCUUAGCGCUGCAGCUAACGCAUUAAGCACUCCGCCUGGGGAGUACGGCCGCAAAGGCUG
rnacentral:rRNA from 1 species